AGUUAGGGACAGAUAGAUG
rnacentral:piRNA from 1 species